UUUUUUUUUUUUUUUUUUUUUUUUUUUUGGGAUUCCAGCUUUUUUUAUUUUUCCCAUUUUACACAAAACAAAGUAGAAGAAUACAAGAUUAAAACUGCAAAAGUAGUUAAUUGGUAGAACAUAUAUACACAAAAAAAAUCCAGAUAGCAAGACAAGCUUAUCUACAAUAAGGAAACACAUGUAAAAAUUAAGGUAGUUUGUAGUUUUCAUAUUAAACAUUAAAAAAAAAUGCUACAAUGGGUGCCAUUGUUUACAGUAAUAUUGAAGGGGGAAACAACACUUAUUUAGGGACAGAUAUACCACAAGGUCCAGCAUCAGUGCAAUAAAUUCACAAAACUAUAUUACAGCUAGUUAAUCAGAGUUUAAGAACUGUUCCCAAAUGUCACAUUUUCGGCCCUCAGAGGUUCAUUCCUACAGAUUUCAGCUAUUCUAAAUUUUUAGCUAUUGAGAGGAAGAAUGAUUCUAAGAUACUUUCCAAGGAGUUACAAAAUCUCUGUAGACCAGAGGCCACCUAUCAUGGCCAAAGUCUGCUCUCCCCAACUGCCCUUGCAACCUCCAAAGAAGUAUCUAGGAAAAAAGUCAGAAGCCUGCAUAGCCACCACCUCCUGUGCCAAAUCUAUGGGGACCAAAGCAGCCAGCAAUUACUUUCAAAUGAGACUCUUGAGGCUUACCUUUAAAGGCUUAAUCUGGUCUGGAAAAUUAGUAGGACAAGAUUAUUUUCUACUGAAAUGACGCUUGACUAAGUAUAGGAAGACUUCUGUCCUUUAUUGGCUGGUGAUGGAGUAAAGGUCAUAGACCUGAGUCUUAACCUAUUAUGUACUUUAGUUUCAGCUAAAAAUCUGAAAUAAAAAUAUGCUAAAAAUCCUAAACACAAACUUUUAGAAGCCUGCUGUUAAAUAGCCUUUAAGGAUCUACUAACUUGAAGUCUAAGAGCAAAGAGAGAAAAGCUCGAAGGCUGUUAUAUUCUCCGUUUGGGAGGAAAGAUCAAUGUUUCUUACAAAUUACUAAUUUUGCAUAAGGCAGAAACCAACACAUACUAUGGCAUGGAAAUGGUUUCAUUUUAUUCCAGAAGGAUUCUUCUCCCACAGUAUAGAAACAGCAUGAGGAAUGAAUCUUAAUUGGUCUCUUCAUCAGAAGUGGUAAACUUGGUCUCUAUAUUCAUGAAGCCAGACAGUUAAAGCAGACUGUGGAAGCAGACAGUAGAACCAGCUUCCUGUAGCCACAGACCACUACCUUGUAUCUAGCUAAAGCAAAGAUCAACUGGAACAAUUAUCCAAAGUCACAGUUAACUGUACUAAAAGAUGAAGUUCACCACUAUAUUAUUUUAAAGAAGUUGCCUAAAAGUAAGAAUUCAAUUAACCUGGGUGAGAAAAAUCAAAAGUCAUACUCACGAAUGAGUUGUCCAUAUAAGGCCAACUGAUGAGAAUGCAUCCAGCUACACUUCACAUGAAGACACUAUGCAUAAUGCCUUACUUGGUAAGUCUGAACUUCUACUAACUAAGGGCAGAAAAAGGGAGAGCAAAGAACUACUUCUGUAACAUUUUAGUAUCCAGACAGC
rnacentral:lncRNA from 1 species